AUACAACUUUCAACAACGGAUCUCUUGGCUCUCCCAUCGAUGAAGAACGCAGCGAAAUGCGAUAAGUAAUGUGAAUUGCAGAAUUCAGUGAAUCAUCGAAUCUUUGAACGCACCUUGCGCCCUUUGGUAUUCCAAAGGGCAUGCCUGUUUGAGUGUCA
rnacentral:rRNA from 1 species